UUAUAUAAUUGAUGGAUAAUUUUUGAAAUAUAUUUAUUUAAUGUGUGAAUAGCUUAUUCAUAGGAAUUUUAUUUGCACUUAUAUAAGGUAUAAGUUGAUGAGUAAUGUAAUUUACUAAAUCGAUCAAUUUUUACCUUAUACAUAUUGAUCGAGUAAAAAGGUUACUUUGGACAAUUAUUUUAGUUGAUGAUUAAUGGGCCAAGCCCAUAAUUUAUUUAAUAGCCCAUAUUACAUGGCCAUAUAAAAUGGACUAAAGUUAAUAGGUUUUGCACUUUUAAAUCAUAACAAUAAAAAAUAAAAAUAAAAUGCCUAUAUUCGGCUAGGCUUAGGGGAAUAGAGAUACGAGAGAGGGGCAACAGGAAGCAGUCCGUGGAAGAAAGUAAGGCAAAGUAGAUUUUGAUCGUUCAGAGGCUCUACGCAAAGGGAAGACAUUAGUUUGAUUGUUAGUGGAACCCGCUCGGUAUUGAGAGUACGAUCCAGGCUCCAGUUCUACACCCCGUGGCUGAUACGCGAGGGUGACAUCUUUCCGUCAUUCAUGGUGAGCUACUUGAUCAUCCGUGGCCCCUGAAGGACCUCCUUUAUUUAUUUCUGCUUUUAUAUCCGAUAGACAAGAUGUAACCUUCGGGUAUUUUCAGACUUCUAUUUCGUACUAUGUUAGCGCUCUUGUACCCUUUGACCAGAUUUUGGGAUUAUCGUGACAUUUCUAGUGAUGAUAAGUAUUUAAGACUUGAUAAUUUAUUCUUA